AGAGUUUGAUCCUGGCUCAGAUUGAACGCUGGCGGCAUGCCUUACACAUGCAAGUCGAACGGUAACGCGGGGGCAACCCUGGCGACGAGUGGCGAACGGGUGAGUAAUACAUCGGAACAUAUCCAGUAGCGGGGGAUAACCUAUCGAAAGAUGGACUAAUACCGCAUACGAUCUACGGAUGAAAGCAGGGGACCGCAAGGCCUUGCACUAUUGGAGUGGCCGAUGUCGGAUUAGCUAGUUGGUGGGGUAAAAGCUUACCAAGGCGACGAUCCGUAGCUGGUCUGAGAGGACGAUCAGCCACACUGGAACUGAGACACGGUCCAGACUCCUACGGGAGGCAGCAGUGGGGAAUUUUGGACAAUGGGCGCAAGCCUGAUCCAGCCAUGCCGCGUGAGUGAAGAAGGCCUUCGGGUUGUAAAGCUCUUUCGGUGAAGACGAAACGGUUCAUGCUAAUAACGUGAACUAAUGACGGUACUCACAGAAGAAGCACCGGCUAACUACGUGCCAGCAGCCGCGGUAAUACGUAGGGUGCAGGCGUUAAUCGGAAUUACUGCGUAGAGCGUGCGCAGGCGGUUUGCUAAGACAGGUGUGAAAUCCCCGGGCUUAACCUGGGAAUUGCGCUUGUAACUGGCAAGCUAGAGUGUGGCAGAGGGGGGUGGAAUUCCACGUGUAGCAGUGAAAUGCGUAGAUAUGUGGAGGAACACCGAUGGCGAAGGCAGCCCCCUGGGUUAACACUGACGCUCAUGCACGAAAGCGUGGGGAGCAAACAGGAUUAGAUACCCUGGUAGUCCACGCCCUAAACUAUGUCAACUAGUUGUCGGGGAAGAAAUUCCUUGGUAACGAAGCUAACGCGUGAAGUUGACCGCCUGGGGAGUACGGCCGCAAGGUUAAAACUCAAAGGAAUUGACGGGGACCCGCACAAGCGGUGGAUUAUGUGGAUUAAUUCGAUACAACGCGAAAAACCUUACCUACCCUUGACAUGCUAGGAAGCCCGCAGAGAUGUGGGUGUGCCCGAAAGGGAACCUAGACACAGGUGCUGCAUGGCUGUCGUCAGCUCGUGUCGUGAGAUGUUGGGUUAAGUCCCGCAACGAGCGCAACCCUUGCCAUUAGUUGCUACAUUCAGUUGGGCACUCUAAUGGGACCGCCGGUGACAAACCGGAGGAAGGUGGGGAUGACGUCAAGUCCUCAUGGCCCUUAUGGGUAGGGCUUCACACGUAAUACAAUGGUCGGUACAGAGGGCUGCCAACCCGCAAGGGGGAGCUAAUCCCAGAAAGCCGAUCGUAGUCCGGAUUGUAGUUUGUAACUCGGCUGCAUGAAGCCGGAAUCGCUAGUAAUCGCGGAUCAGCAUGUCGCGGUGAGUACGUUCCCGGGUCUUGUACACACCGCCC
rnacentral:rRNA from 1 species